rnacentral:rRNA from 1 species
UACGGAGGUGGCAAGCGUUGUUCGGAAUUACUGGGCGUAAAGGGCGCGUAGGCGGCAUGGCAAGUCAGAUGUGAAAGCCCCGGGCUUAACCUGGGAAUUGCAUCUGAAACUGUUGUGCUUGAGUUCUGGAGGGGGUAGUGGAAUUCCCAGUGUAGCGGUGAAAUGCGUAGAUAUUGGGAGGAACACCUGCGGCGAAGGCGGCUACCUGGACAGAUACUGACGCUGAGGCGCGAAAGCUAGGGGAGCAAACGGGAUUAGAUACCCCGGUAGU